UACAGAGGUCUCAAGCUGUUGUUCGGAUCCAUUGGGCGUAAAGGGUGCGUAGGCGGCGCGGUAAGUCGGGUGUGAAAUCUCGGGGCUUAACUCCGAAACUGCAUUCGAUACUGCCGUGCUUGAGGACUGGAGAGGAGACUGGAAUUUACGGUGUAGCGGUGAAAUGCGUAGAUAUCGUAAGGAAGACCAGUGGCGAAGGCGGGUCUCUGGACAGUUCCUGACGCUGAGGCACGAAGGCCAGGGGAGCAAACGGG
rnacentral:rRNA from 1 species